rnacentral:lncRNA from 1 species
ACUGUUGCUCAGACAUGAGUGAAGAAUCUCUCUGAGUAAGUGGGGCAGUUGUGAGCUUGAAGUGCCUGUUGCAGAGACAUCAGGCAGCAGGGACAGCUGUACAGCAGAGAGCACCUUGGUACAGCCAGGCCUUCAAGGCUGGCCAAGAGACCAAUGGCUGGGGAGCCUCCAGAAAAUCUUCAUGGGCUCAAGAAGCAGUAAAUGUGCAUGGAGAAACAACUUGGUACGUUAACGUCCAGCACAGAACUCUGGUCACUUGGUGGUUGUGUUGGCUGGGAGUUUUACAAAAACAAGCCAUGCUUUGGUUUGUGACUUCCUCACUCAUUUUCCUGUGUUAAGUCCCUAAUUUAACAAUGCACUGACCUCUCUCCUCCGAAAAUCUGUGGCUGUGGAAACAUUGCCCCUGCAGGAGGUCUGGAAGAUUUCUGGACCAUUACUGCUUCUGACUUCCUCUCUCUGUGAGCAAAGAGCUAUCACAGGUCAACUGCAGAGUGGAAAAAGUGGCAGCAAAUUGUGGGGCAAACAGGGAAGCAAGCUAAUGCUAUCUACUGGUUUCACAAGAAAAAAAAGUCAGAAAAAACAAAACCACUAAAAGACAUCUUGAAUAAAGAAACAUUUCACUUUGGUGGACCAAAUCUUCAGGGAUGCAUUCAGUUUCUCUGACACAGGUACCUGUGAGCCAGCAAGGCACACUCAGGUAUAGACAGACGCAGCCCAGUCGUGUGGCACCCAUGAAUAGAUCCAGUGAGCCUGUGCAGCUGUGUUUUGAUCAGCAGAGAGGUUUCCUGGCAUCGAGAACUGAAAUCACCUUGUGGCUAUGACAAGCACAUCUAAGUAUGUAGCAAGUGAAAAUCAAGGGUUUCUGUAAGGAAGAAGUAAGGACACCUACCACAAAAAAUUAAAAGUAAAAUAACCUUUAAUAAUUGCAACAAUGCAAACCCCAUUCUGUGUAUUGCUCUAAACUGGCAUUUAGCCAUCCAUCAUUUGCUGGCUCAUAAAGCUGAUUUGUGCUCUUCCCUCCCCUCCCUGCUUCCAGGAGCUGCUGGCCUCCUUUCACCACUCCUUUCCCAUAGGCUCACAACUGGGACCCAAACGCUCUUUUGUCUUUUCCUCUGGAACUCUGCUUAGUGGCA